CAUUUUGAUCCAAUGGUUUACAUUCCCUCAUCUAAAUUUCAAUGGUGGAGAUGUGUCCAUUUCCCGCCCAAACUUAAAUGGCAUCAUCACUCUCUCUCUCUUCUCAUCUCUCUUUCACAGAUGCAUCUCUCUCCCUUCUCUCUUCCGUUUCUCUUGCGAUGACCACCGCCAUCGCGACACUGACGACUACCGACCACAUCUCUUCUCCCUCGCCGGAGACCCAAUCCCUCAUCUCAAGACAUGGUAGGGCAACAGACCCAUAUCAAAAUGCAGACCCAUAGAGGAGAUAUUAGAGAUCGGAAGCUCCAUUUGCAAGCGACCUCUCGCGGAGUCCAUUUUGUUUCAGCAACAGUUGCAGGAUGGUGGCAUCGGGGCGAUUGGGCAUUACACCUGGUUCUAGGGUUUUGAAAACCCCUCUCAGUGACGAUGCGAUCUGGAAACGCCUUCGAGAGGCAGAGUUCGAUGAAGACUCCAUCAGAAGAAGGGACAAAGCUGAGGGCUCACAGAUUGGAAGGGAGGAUUUUGAAAUUCGGCUGUCAUGGCCUCAUCAGUUUCUGGACCUUUGACUGGCCUCUGGCCCCAGUGCUAGGAUUUACAAUUCAGAAUUGAAGCCUCUGGCCCCAGUGCUAGGUUUCUUCGUGCUGCUUCACUACUGUUAGCUCUGUUAUCCUCUCUCUACCACUCUCUGUUUUGAGCAAUAAAAAUCGAACAAUAAUCUAUAUUUAAUGGGGUCUUCUUCAUCUGCCAAUCUAUGGGUUUUGCUGGGUUUGGGGUUGGCCGGAAUACUGAUAAUGACGAGAAAGCUGAAGCAGGUGGUGAAAGAAGACUUUGGGGCUUUCGUAGAGAGGUUUCAGCUCCUCCCACCUCCUCAGCCUGCUCCUCCCAAAGCUCCGCACCCUUUGACUGGCCUCUCCUUCUCUGUCUCCGACUGAUUGUUGUGCAUGCUCUUCAUUGGAAAAAGUACACAUAAGUUGAUACAUGGACAUUUCAAAAUGUGAUAGAGAACAAGUUUGAAGGUGUCGAAGCGCUUUAGAGGUGGCCAAGUACUUUUUGUAAAAGAACAAGUUUGAAGACAUUAUACGGCUUACAUUUUGUAAAGAUGACAAAUAUUUUGUAAAGUAUAUCCUUCAUGUUAACCACUUUUGUAAAGCUUCCUACUAAUAUGUGCUUCAUUGAAUUUCUAAUAUUUUUGCAAAGUGUCUUAUCAAUGUAAAAGAUUAGACCUUAUGGAUGGUUAUUGAGUGUAGACAGUAAAGUGCCCUUGAAAAUUCACUAAAUUUAGUAUCUUUGCAUAUUUUGGUGGAAGUCACGUAUGGUUGACAUUGAUUUUUGUGAAAAUUUAGUGUCUAUUGUGCAGGAAUAAUUUAUUAGUGGGUUGGAGGAAGAUGUUAUAGUAUUAUUGCCUCUUAAUUUUUAUAUACUUUAGUUCCCCCUCCCCUCUAUCAUGAUUAUGAAUUUUCAUGGUUUGUUUCUGAAUUCAUUUUUCUUUUCAAGACCUCUGACUGUCCAACACAGUUGGUUGUAAAAUUAGCUUGAAUUUGUUGUAUCAUCCAUGAUAUUCUGGUAUUAACAAUAAGGUUAGUCUUUAAAGUAACUUGGGUUAGUGUUAUUUCAUUUAUUUAUAAGUAGUUAGUUGAAACUGUGAAAAAGUUUGAAAGAUUUGAAGUAUUCCUAUUGAUUUGAUGUUUUAUUUGAUUGAUUUGAAUUAUUUAUUAAAUAGGGCUGAUUUUGAAAAUAUGUUAGAGAAUGAGGUGGGAAUUAUUGAAGACGUCACCCCAAUUAUGUGAAUGAGGUGGGAAGCCUACAUUCAUGAUAAAUUCAUUAGAAAAUAAAAAAUUUGAAAUUUAUUAGUUAUUUAUUUCAAUUUUCUUUAUAUUUUUUGUUCCUGUUUUAUGUGAAAUUUUAAAUUGAAGUGAUAUUGCCAUUUUAAAUUAAUUUAUUAUA